rnacentral:rRNA from 1 species
GAUCCUGGCUCAGGAUGAACGCUAGCUACAGGCUUAACACAUGCAAGUCGAGGGCAGCAUUUCAGUUUGCUUGCAAACUGGAGAUGGCGACCGGCGCACGGGUGAGUAACACGUAUCCAACCUGCCGAGUAACUCGGGAUAGCCUUUCGAAAGAAAGAUUAAUACCCGAUGGUAUAAUUAGACCGCGAUGGUCUAAUUAUUAAAGAAUUUCGGUUAUCGAUGGGGAUGCGUUCCAUUAGGCAGG